rnacentral:rRNA from 1 species
UACGGAGAGUUUGAUUCUGGCUCAGGACGAACGCUGGCGGCGUGCUUAACACAUGCAAGUCGAACGGAAAGGCCCUGCUUGCAGGGUACUCGAGUGGCGAACGGGUGAGUAACACGUGGGUGAUCUGCCCUGCACUUCGGGAUAAGCCUGGGAAACUGGGUCUAAUACUGGAUAUGACCUUUCUCCUUAUGGGGUUUGGUGGAAAGUUUUUCGGUGUAGGAUGAGCCCGCGGCCUAUCAGCUUGUUGGUGGGGUGAAGGCCUACCAAGGCGGCGACGGGUAGCCGGCCUGAGAGGGUGACCGGCCACAUUGGGACUGAGAUACGGCCCAGACUCCUACGGGAGGCAGCAGUGGGAAUAUUGCACAAUGGGCGGAAGCCUGAUGCAGCAACGCCGCGUGCGGGAUGACGGCCUUCGGGUUGUAAACCGCUUUCAGCAGGGACGAAGCUUUUUGUGACGGUACCUGUAUAAGAAGC